CUCUCGCCGCCUCCUGGCCUCCGCACCGACGCGGCCCGGGCUGGAGCCGAGCCGGGGCCGAGCUGCAGGCCGGACCGGAGCCGGAUCUGUACCCGCUGAGACGUGGAAACAUGGAGGCCUGAGCCGGUGUGCGCCACCUGGGCUGCGGCGGCGACAGCGACUUCUCCUGACCCCUCUGCCACCCUCCCAUCCGUCCGCGGGUCCGUGGAGCUGGAGCAGAUCCCCCAGCCGGCUGAGACAGGUUGUCUUUUGGAAAUGCAGGUUUAAGGACAAAUUAUCUGCUUAAGCUAGAAGAUGGGAUCGAAUAGCAGCAGAAUCGGCGAUCUUCCUAAAAAUGAGUACUUGAAAAAGUUAUCAGGCACGGAAUCUAUCUCUGAGAAUGACCCGUUCUGGAAUCAGCUUCUCUCAUUUUCUUUCCCUGCACCAACUAGCAGUAGUGAGUUGAAACUCUUGGAGGAAGCAACCAUUUCAGUCUGCAGGUCAUUAGAUGCUGCUAGAAGGUACCCUUCAGUCAAUAGCAAUAUGACACAUGCUUGGCUAUAUCUGCAGUAGUGUUGAAAACAAUCC
rnacentral:lncRNA from 1 species